GACGAACGCUGGCGGCGUGCUUAACACAUGCAAGUCGAACGGAAAGGCCCUUCGGGGUGCUCGAGUGGCGAACGGGUGAGUAACACGUGGGUGAUCUGCCCUGCACUUUGGGAUAAGCCUGGGAAACUGGGUCUAAUACCGAAUAGGACCGCGCUCUUCAUGGGGAGUGGUGGAAAGCUUUUGCGGUGUGGGAUGGGCCCGCGGCCUAUCAGCUUGUUGGUGGGGUAAUGGCCUACCAAGGCGACGACGGGUAGCCGGCCUGAGAGGGUGACCGGCCACACUGGGACUGAGAUACGGCCCAGACUCCUACGGGAGGCAGCAGUGGGGAAUAUUGCACAAUGGGCGCAAGCCUGAUGCAGCGACGCCGCGUGAGGGAUGACGGCCUUCGGGUUGUAAACCUCUUUCAGUACCGACGAAGCGCAAGUGACGGUAGGUACAGAAGAAGGACCGGCCAACUACGUGCCAGCAGCCGCAGUAAAAC
rnacentral:rRNA from 1 species